rnacentral:rRNA from 1 species
CCUACGGGAGGCAGCAGUGAGGAAUAUUGGUCAAUGGACGAGAGUCUGAACCAGCCAAGUAGCGUGAAGGAUGACUGCCCUAUGGGUUGAAAACUUCUUUUAUAUGGGAAUAAAAUGUUCCACGUGGGGGAUUUUGUAUGUACAAUAUGAAUAAGGAUCGGCUAACUCUGUGUCAGCAGCCGCGGUAAUACGGAGGGGCCGAGCGUUAUCCGGAUUGAUUGGGGGUAAAGGGUGCGCAGGCGGGAGAUCAAGUCAGCGGUAAAAUGUCGGGGCUAAACCCCGGCCGGCCGUUGAAACUGGUUUUCUAGAGUUGGCGAGAAGUAUGCGGAAUUCGUGGUGUAGCGGUGAAAUGCAUAGAUAUCACGAAGAACUCCGAUUGCGAAGGCAGCAUACCGGCUCCAUACUGACGCUGAGGCACGAAAGCGUGGGGAUCGAACAGGAUUAGAUACCCCGGUAGUC